rfam:Brassica oleracea var. oleracea cultivar TO1000 chromosome C5, whole genome shotgun sequence
GGAAUAUAAGAAACCGUCUCUUAACUUUUAACUAAAAAAGUUAAGACCCGGCUCUUAAAUAAGAUAUUUAAGAGUCGGUUCUUAGCUUUUUUAGUUAAAAGUUAAGAGACGGUUUCUUAUAUUCC